GGGCUGGCGGGUCGUGAGGCCUCGGGGGGACAGGACUAUCCGGGAUGAGGCUUCUGCCCGCCAGCUAAUAGGAAUUCACAGUAGUCAUCAUCAUCAUUGUGAUCCUGUGACCGCUGAUGUUCAAGUGAGCGCUGGUGGGAGGGGGCAGCGUUCCGGGGAGCUGUGCAAACACCCCUCAACGUUCACAGUAACCACAAAGUUGGUUCUGCUCCGAGCCCCACUUUGUGCCAGAGGAAGCAGAGGCUUGGAUGGAGGUCAAGGGAGUUGAGAGCCGGAAGCUUCAGACAAGAAUUUAAAAUCGUUGCUUAGACAUCGUCUUAAGUACCUGCAUCUCAAAGCAGAACAGGCCUAUAAGAUUUUUCCUGGGGCUGUGGGGUCACCUUCUCUUCCUCCCUCCUGCCACCCCAAGUCGUCUGAGUUGCGUGGUACACAGUGGGAGAGCGUUGGCCUGGAUCUCAAGCUACCCCGUUCUAGUCCUGC